rnacentral:rRNA from 1 species
GAUGAACGCUGGCGGCGUGCCUAAUACAUGCGAGUCGAGCGAACGGACGAGAAGCUUGCUUCUCUGAUGUUAGCGGCGGACGGGUGAGUAACACGUGGAUAACCUACCUAUAAGACUGGGAUAACUUCGGGAAACCGGAGCUAAUACCGGAUAAUAUUUUGAACCGCAUGGUUCAAAAGUGAAAGACGGUCUUGCUGUCACUUAUAGAUGGAUCCGCGCUGCAUUAGCUAGUUGGUAAGGUAACGGCUUACCAAGGCAACGAUGCAUAGCCGACCUGAGAGGGUGAUCGGCCACACUGGAACUGAGACACGGUCCAGACUCCUACGGGAGGCAGCAGUAGGGAAUCUUCCGCAAUGGGCGAAAGCCUGACGGAGCAACGCCGCGUGAGUGAUGAAGGUCUUCGGAUCGUAAAACUCUGUUAUUAGGGAAGAACAUAUGUGUAAGUAACUGUGCACAUCUUGACGGUACCUAAUCAGAAAGCCACUGCUAACUACGUG